GCUAAUGUAGCUCAGUGGUAGAGCACUUGCCUACCAUGUGCAAAGCCCUGGAUCCAUGCCCCCACUACUGCAAAAAAAAUUUUUUUUAAAUGAACAUGCAUACAUAAACAGAAAUAAUCCUAGUUCAGAUGUUCUAACUAAAGUACAUUCUUGCUGGGCACAGUAGCACAGGCCAGUAAUCCCAGUGGCUCAGAAGGCUGAAGUAGAAGGAUCCUGAGUUCAAAGCCAGCUUUAGCA
rnacentral:tRNA from 1 species